CCUACGGGACGCAGCAGUGGGGAAUAUUGGUCAAUGGGGGAAACCCUGAUCCAGCGACGCCGCGUGAGUGAAGAAGUAUUUCGGUAUGUAAAGCUCUAUCAGCAGGGAAGAAAAUGACGGUACCUGACUAAGAAGCCCCGGCUAACUACGUGCCAGCAGCCGCGGUAAUACGUAGGGGGCAAGCGUUAUCCGGAUUUACUGGGUGUAAAGGGAGCGUAGGCGGCGAUGCAAGUCAGAAGUGAAAGCCCGGGGCUCAACUCCGGGACUGCUUUUGAAACUGUAUGGCUAGAUUGCAGGAGAGGCAA
rnacentral:rRNA from 1 species